UCCAUAGCAUUAGUCUCAAUGGUAACUAAAGUGCUCAAGGUCUACUAAGACCACAGUAUAACUAAGACCAACUUUUUGAAUGAAUACCUGUUUAUGUCAAAGUUCAUAAAAAUAUUCAUGAACACUACGAGUAAGCCCAUGAGAAACAAUUAGCCACACAAUAAGUUGAAUAACUCAUGAUUUGGUGCUGGUUUUACUAACUUUACUUAAGUUAAUGAGCAGCCACAGCCACACAGAAAAGUGGUUAAGAGGGUGAAAUAUCAGUGGUUUAAUUUUGAUUUGACCUAAAUCUUGAAUUCUCAGGGGAUACCAAAGGAUACGAUUUUAAAUUAUAAGUGGAUUCAGCUUCUAUCUCAAUCAAAUAUACAUCUUUGAGUUUGUAGGUGCUCUCCAAAGGGUCUCCAAAAACCUAAAACUAUUUCAUGUUAAGGGAAAUGUGAAAGAGAUUUUUAAUUAGGCUAGAUAUGCAGUGGUUGUGAAAACAGUUUAGUUCUACAAGUACGAAAUACUUUUCAUUAAAUAUGAGAACACUAGUGCUGGCAACAUGGAUUUUUAUAAAUAUAGUAUUUUUUGGAGUAUGCAUUUAUAUGUAUUUAUUAUGGUCAUAUUAUUGGAUGAAUGAUGGUAAAGAUGUUCAAUCUACAACACUAAAUUAUGACCAGGAAAUUUAUUACUACAACCAUGGAUAUCCACAAUCCUAUUAUAAUGAUUCUAAUAAGAAUCAUAAUGUAACAGAAAAGAGAUUUCGAAUUAAGCAUUCAUUUAAAGAUAACUCCACAGUGAUUGUUCUGAAAAACAGUCAACCAAGAUUUUUGAGUUUACAAACCAGCUUUCAUAUGGAUACGAAUAAAUAUGUUUGUUUAAAAACAGACAAUGCAAGUACAUGCGAAGAAAAAACACAUGCAUACAGAAAAAAUAUUCUAGCAGAACUUAAUAAAGUUUUAGUGGAAGAGGGUAAUGUCCUUAAAGAAACAAGUAAUCUAUACAAUGUAACAUUCACAGGCACAAAGAUGCCUUACUUAGAAAACACACCACAAACUAUAUUAAAAAAGUUCUUAUCACUUAAAGUACACACAAUAAAAAAGAAGGAUAUUGAGUAUAUUGAUAGCCAUUUCAAA